UUCAAGGAGACCCUGCCCUCCUUUACAGAUAAGUUAUAUAGGGAUUGUUCACUCCCUGUUGAGAGGCAGCAAUCAGAACAAGUUGUAACCUUUUGCUCAGCACUGUUAAAAAUCCCAAGGCAACUACAAUCUCCAGCUUGGGAAGUGCCCUGAGGAGCAGUUUGCCAGUACCUAGGAAGGCACCGUUGGGGAUGGGAUCACUCUACUCACCUUGUUUCUUAUGGCCUCUUCUGAGUGUCCUGUCACUGCUGAGGCAGGGUACUGGUCUUGGCAGGCUGUUGUUCUGACCCAGUACAACUUUUAUCGUGGGCCAGGAGGCUUGAGCUGACUCCAGCAGUGGUAUCAGAGCUUCAGCAUCAAAGGCAUUUGUCUCUAUGAGCAGUCCCUGACUCCCAUGCCACAUGAUGCAGGGUGGCUUAAGUCCACAGUGCUCAGGGCUGAGUGCUUCCACAUUGCAUAGUCUUUGGCUCAGGUUUCCUCCGGUACCUGCUGGCCCUGAGACACCAUCAGUAACUGUUGGGGUUUCAGCAGUCCCAGACUUCUGUGAUUUCAAAGAGAUGUGGCAGCCAGGCUGUGAGCUGUCCCAUGUGCGGUGAUGCGUUGCCUAGGAGAAGCCAAGCUGAUCCCCUCUGAACUAGAAUCUACCUGUGAAAAGCUGUUCCUGCAGUGUGGAUGGACAGUCAGGGACUGGGACCUGGGGCCAGCCAGGGAGUGAAGCUGUUUGGCCUUGUAGGCACAUCCAGAAGGAGCUCGGUGGGAGCAUGGCAGCACCCUGCACCCUCCAAAAAUGUUUGUUUGAGCCCACCCUUCCUGUACAACCCCAGCCAUCCCUCUCACCUCCCUGCUGAGCGUUGCCCUGGCCUGCUUGGGCAAAGAGAUCUGGGGAAAUCCCAGUCUCCAUGGAGGGGUCUGUUCUGAGCCCUGAAACUUAUUUGGAUGUGGGAUGUAGACGAACCUAGGCCCCCAGGAAGAGGAGCAACUGUCCAGUAGGGGGGAAGCUCCAUCUCCUCUUUGGGUGGGGUUGGGGUUACCCAGUUCAUUCCUAGGACUCUUAAAGCCUCUCUGGAGCCAGAUGGCAGAUGUUAACACCUUUCUUGGAGUUUGGAUAAUGGCAUGUUCUGCUGAGGGAUCCUUUCCUAUGCAGAUGCCAGCUGUCAUCUUGAAGCAUGGUGUGGCUCAGCCCUCAGGGCUUCUUGCUGAAGAAAGCAGGGCUUGCUUGGAUGUGCAGCACUGAAGGCCGGCUGAAGUCCUCCUGGUCUGGAGGUAGUGAAAAGUCUGCUUGGCCUCACCUUGUAACAUUCUAAUUCUCAGGAAUGGGCCAUGCACCAGCAGGGACUGGAUUGCUGUGAUCUGUUUGGGCUGUUGAGUCUCUGAUGGUUCUGACUCUCCCUCGGCUCUCCUAGGAUCUGAUAAUCCCCCCCAACACCUUUUGUCAAUCCUGUCCUUCCCUCUUCUACUAACAGGGUCCACCCUGCCAUGUUCAUGCACCUCAGUCUCCUCCAUCUCUCCCUCCCAUGUCCUGUACUCCCAUGUUCCCUCCCACCUGCCCUGAGCCCAGCUCCCCUUGCCGCCAGCCCAGAUCUCUCUGCAGCACGUCAUCACCAGCGUGUCCUGACAGCUUGGCAAAAUUUGCAAAAUGAAAAUGUCUUCUACCACAUUUUUCAGUUUUGCCACCAAAAUUUGACAGAGCCAAGAGCCUGAAGCUGCUUCUGCCGCCCUGUGUGUGCUUGGUGACCCGGAGGGGACCUAGCCAAGUCUCUCUUUAGCAGUUCCCCAGCUAUGCUUUCUCUCAUACCUUGCUGCUCCAGGAGGAAAGGGCAGCUCUGGAUACUAAUCCUGAGGAAGUCCAUUAGACCACCGCAGCCUGCCUGAUCUUUCCAAUCCCAGACUCCGCUGCUUUUAAAUUAGGCAGUAGGCUGGCAGGUGGGACAUGUGAGAGCAGAGGAGGUGAGUCCAUGGGAAGAGGACAUCCCUCUGCUCCAAUGUUCAGGCACCAGCCAGCGUUUCACUGGGAACCUGAAGGAUUUCUGCUGUAGGGCUUGUUUUCAGGCUGAGGACAUGUGAGGAAGGAAGAGCCUGAAGAUGCAGAUGGAAUGGAAGAAAAUGCAAAGAGGCUGUGGACGAGUGGAGAUGCUGCUUAAAAGAUUGACUGUUGCCUGCUGCGUAGAAAGAUUGAACGAAAGAUUGCAUUCAUGCGCACCAGGAUUGCAUACCCCCCUUCCCUCAUAUGUUAAAUUGCAUUUGUUACUUGUUUGGAGCCUUCCUAUGUGUAAACUUCCCCACAGCUCUGUACUACAUCUUUAUGGCCCCAUCUGCUAUUCCCACCUCCCAGGACCUCUGAUAUGUUUUUUGGGGGAGAAAGCCUAUAAAAUAAAACUCGUCCAGUCACCUGA